GGAGGACCGAACCGACUAAUGUUGAAAAAUUAGCGGAUGACUUGUGGCUGGGGGUGAAAGGCCAAUCAAACCGGGAGAUAGCUGGUUCUCCCCGAAAGCUAUUUAGGUAGCGCCUCGUGAAUUCAUCUCCGGGGGUAGAGCACUGUUUCGGCAAGGGGGUCAUCCCGACUUACCAACCCGAUGCAAACUGCGAAUACCGGAGAAUGUUAUCACGGGAGACACACGGCGGGUGCUAACGUCCGUCGUGAAGAGGGAAACAACCCAGACCGCCAGCUAAGGUCCCAAAGUCAUGGUUAAGUGGGAAACGAUGUGGGAAGGCCCAGACAGCCAGGAUGUUGGCUUAGAAGCAGCCAUCAUUUAAAGAAAGCGUAAUAGCUCACUGGUCGAGUCGGCCUGCGCGGAAGAUGUAACGGGGCUAAACCAUGCACCGAAGCUGCGGCAGCGACGCU
rnacentral:rRNA from 1 species